rnacentral:rRNA from 1 species
UGAACGCUGGCGGCGUGCCUAAUACACGCAAGUCGAGCGAACGGACGCGAAGCUUGCUUCUCUGAUGUUAGCGGCGGACGGGUGAGUAACACGUGGAUAACCUACCUAUAAGACUGGGAUAACUUCGGGAAACCGGAGCUAAUACCGGAUGAUAUUUUGAACCGCAUGGUUCAAAAGUGAAAGACGGUCUUGCUGUCACUUAUAGAUGGAUCCGCGCUGCAUUAGCUAGUUGGUAAGGUAACGGCUUACCAAGGCAACGAUGCAUAGCCGACCUGAGAGGGUGAUCGGCCACACUGGAACUGAGACACGGUCCAGACUCCUACGGGAGGCAGCAGUAGGGAAUCUUCCGCAAUGGGCGAAAGCCUGACGGAGCAACGCCGCGUGAGUGAUGAAGGUCUUCGGAUCGUAAAACUCUGUUAUUAGGGAAGAACAUAUGUGUAAGUAACUGUGCACAUCUUGACGGUACCUAAUCAGAAAGCCACGGCUAACUACGUG